rnacentral:rRNA from 1 species
AUUGAACGCUGGCGGCAUGCCUUACACAUGCAAGUCGAACGGCAGCACGGGUGCUUGCACCUGGUGGCGAGUGGCGAACGGGUGAGUAAUACAUCGGAACAUGUCCUGUAGUGGGGGAUAGCCCGGCGAAAGCCGGAUUAAUACCGCAUACGAUCCACGGAUGAAAGCGGGGGACCUCCGGGCCUCGCGCUAUAGGGUUGGCCGAUGGCUGAUUAGCUAGUUGGUGGGGUAAAGGCCUACCAAGGCGACGAUCAGUAGCUGGUCUGAGAGGACGACCAGCCACACUGGGACUGAGACACGGCCCAGACUCCUACGGGAGGCAGCAGUGGGGAAUUUUGGACAAUGGGCGAAAGCCUGAUCCAGCAAUGCCGCGUGUGUGAAGAAGGCCUUCGGGUUGUAAAGCACUUUUGUCCGGAAAGAAAUCCUUGACUCUAAUACAGUCGGGGGAUGACGGUACCGGAAGAAUAAGCACCGGCUAACUACGUG